GAUGAACGCUGGCGGCGUGCCUAACACAUGCAAGUCGAACGAAGCUUGACGGAUGUUUUCUUCGGAAUGAAACCAGAUAUGACUUAGUGGCGGACGGGUGAGUAACACGUGAGCAACCUGCCUUUCAGAGGGGGAUAACGGCUGGAAACGGUCGCUAAUACCGCAUGAUGUGUUCGGAUGGCAUCAUCUGAACAUCAAAGAUUUAUCGCUGAAAGAUGGGCUCGCGUCUGAUUAGAUAGUUGGUGGGGUAACGGCCUACCAAGUCUACGAUCAGUAGCCGGACUGAGAGGUUGAACGGCCACAUUGGGACUGAGAUACGGCCCAGACGCCUACGGGAGGCAGCAGUGGAGAAUAUUGCACAAUGGGGGAAACCCUGAUGCAGCAACGCCGCGUGAAGGAUGACGGUUUUCGGAUUGUAAACUUCUUUUCUUAGUGACGAAGACAGUGACGGUAGCUAAGGAAUAAGCAUCGGCUAACUACGUG
rnacentral:rRNA from 1 species